CGCUAUCACUCCUACGGGGAGGCAGCAGUAGGGAAUCUUCCACAAUGGGCGCAAGCCUGACGGAGCAACACCGCGUGAGUGAAGAAGGGUUUCGGCUCGUAAAGCUCUGUUGUUUAAAGAAGAACACGUAUGAGAGUAACUGUUCAUACGUUGACGGUAUUUAACCAGAAAGUCACGGCUAACUACGUGCCAGCAGCCGCGGUAAUACGUAGGUGGCAAGCGUUAUCCGGAUUUAUUGGGCGUAAAGAGAGUGCAGGCGGUUUUCUAAGUCUGAUGUGAAAGCCUUCGGCUUAACCGGAGAAGUGCAUCGGAAACUGGAUAACUUGAGUGCAGAAGAGGGUAGUGGAACUCCAUGUGUAGCGGUGGAAUGCGUAGAUAUAUGGAAGAACACCAGUGGCGAAGGCGGCUACCUGGUCUGCAACUGACGCUGAGACUCGAAAGCAUGGGUAGCGAACAGGAUUAGAUACCCUGGUAG
rnacentral:rRNA from 1 species